rnacentral:rRNA from 1 species
CCUACGGGAGGCAGCAGUGAGGAAUAUUGGACAAUGGGCGCAAGCCUGAUCCAGCCAUGCCGCGUGCAGGAAGAAGCAUCUAUGGUGUGUAAACUGCUUUUGUACAGGAAGAAACACUCCCUCGUGAGGGAGCUUGACGGUACUGUAAGAAUAAGGACCGGCUAACUCCGUGCCAGCAGCCGCGGUAAUACGGAGGGUCCGAGCGUUAUCCGGAAUCAUUGGGUUUAAAGGGUCCGUAGGCGGUUUAAUAAGUCAGUGGUGAAAUCUGGUCGCUCAACGAUCAAACGGCCAUUGAUACCGUUAGACUUGAAUUAUAAGGAAGUAACUAGAAUAUGUAGUGUAGCGGUGAAAUGCUUAGAUAUUACAUGGAAUACCAAUUGCGAAGGCAGGUUACUACUUAUGGAUUGACGCUGAUGGACGAAAGCGUGGGGAGCGAACAGGAUUAGAUACCCUGGUAGUCCACGCCGUAAACGAUGGAUACUAGCUGUUCGGAGCAAUCUGAGUGNGUAGAGAAGUAGAGUAAGUAAGUACCACCGUCGGGAGGUACGGUUCGUCGAAGAAAGUUAGAAACGUAACAAAUUAAGUAAGUUAGUUACGGCGUGAGACGUUAGCCGACGGACGACGACGAGGGGAAGGAGGAG